rnacentral:rRNA from 1 species
AUUGAACGCUGGCGGCAUGCCUUACACAUGCAAGUCGAACGGCAGCACGGGAGCUUGCUCCUGGUGGCGAGUGGCGAACGGGUGAGUAAUACAUCGGAACGUACCCAGUAGUGGGGGAUAACGCACCGAAAGGUGCGCUAAUACCGCAUACGACCUACGGGUGAAAGCGGGGGACCGUAAGGCCUCGCGCUAUUGGAGCGGCCGAGGUCUGAUUAGCUAGUUGGCGGGGUAAAAGCCCACCAAGGCGACGAUCAGUAGCUGGUCUGAGAGGACGGUCAGCCACACUGGGACUGAGACACGGCCCAGACUCCUACGGGAGGCAGCAGUGGGGAAUUUUGGACAAUGGGGGCAACCCUGAUCCAGCAAUGCCGCGUGUGCGAAGAAGGCCUUCGGGUUGUAAAGCACUUUUGUCAGGGAAGAAAUCUUUCAGGCUAAUACCCUUGGAAGGAUGACGGUACCUGAAGAAUAAGCACCGGCUAACUACGUGCCAGCCGCCGCAGUAA